AACGCGAAGAACCUUACCAGGUCUUGACAUCCACAGAAUUUGUUAGAAAUAAGGAAGUGACCUUCGGGAGCUGUGAGACAGGUGGUGCAUGGUUGUCGUCAGCUCGUGUCGUGAGAUGUUGGGUUAAGUCCCGCAACGAGCGCAACCCUUGUUAAUUGUUGCCAGCGUAGAGACGGGAACUCUAUUAAGACUGCCGUGGAUAACACGGAGGAAGGUGGGGAUGACGUCAAAUCAUCAUGCCCUUUAUGCCCUGGGCUACACACGUGCUACAAUGGCCUGAACAAAGGGAAGCGAAGGAGCGAUCCGGAGCAAAUCCCAUAAAACCGGUCCCAGUUCAGAUUGCAGGCUGCAACCCGCCUGCAUGAAGGAGGAGUUGCUAGUAAUCGCGGAUCAGCAUGCCGCGGUGAAUACGUUCCCGGGUCUUGUACACACCG
rnacentral:rRNA from 1 species